AGAAUUCUGAUGCAGAAGAAAAUGUUUUUGAACAGUAGAAGAAUCAUACUGCUUACUUCCAGGUCUGAAAUUUGAUUGCUGUGUUGAGAAUAUAAAAAUGAAUAUUAUAAAUUGGAAGCUGUCAGCUCUGGUCAGAGGGGAAAAAGCCUGGCGAGUAUAAGAAACUAAGGAUGGCGCAUUUAAUGGAGGACUUUGGGAUAUUGUUCAUGGCUGUCUGGAACGAUCUCUUACUGUGGAAACAUCCAGAAGACUCCAAUCUCUGUUCUGCCAUGUUCUGUAACUUACAAGAACUUCAGACGGUCACUCACUUCACCGACUCCCCACUUCCUACGCAUGUGAAACGAGAGAAUCUCAGAGAUCCCUGCUAGCGUCAAGACUGUGACAUUGUGAAAAUUCCAUGUAGAGACUUGAGACUGCCUUUUCCGUCCUCAAGGAGAUACACAUACUGCCACCAGAUGUCCCAAGAAGUCUUUUAGGACCAGCACACUGAUACAAAAUCUUGUGAUUCUUCUGUUUGAACCCUCUUCUGGCAAAGGGACAGAGGAGACCAAGCCUGGAUUGAUGGAUUCUCCUACUCUUUCCUCCACAUCCCACACACCAUCCCCGCCCCUAUCCCCCACCCGACACAUUCCAGUGAUUGCUACCCUGGUGUUUGGAUGGAACUGCCAACCCUUGCAGUGUUCAAAUCUCUAGUCUCCCCAGGAGCUCGCUCUUUUGUACCAAAUCCAAAGGGACUGACUUGGGUUUCUUAAUCUGAAUAUACUUACUGUAAAACAUAAUGAGGUCAUUCUUUGGCCUUUAAGUACUUCUAAAGUGAUGGUUACUGGGAAAUGAAUAUAAACUGCUUACAUUUUUGUUUUUCUUCCCGGUCCAAUUCUCCCUGUGCAACAAGAGAACUGUUCGGUUCUGCAUACAUAGAUUGUAUCUAGGAUAUACCUAUUUAACAUGAGGGCUGCUUGCCAUCUGGGGGA